rnacentral:rRNA from 1 species
GGAGACAGUCAUGAGACGUGAGUAUAAGACCUGAGUGUAAAGACCUUAGGGUGAAGCAAUUGGAGGGCAAGCUUUGGUGCCAGCAGCCGCGGUAACUCCAACUCCAAGAGUGUCUAUGGUGGAUGCUGCAGUUAAAGGGUCCGUAGUCGUGAAUGCAAUUAAAUGUCGUUGUUCAAUAGCGAUGAGUUUGCUAAUGUUUGCGGAACGGAUAGGGAGUGUAGUAUAGACUGGCGAAGAAUGAAAUCUCAAGACCCAGUUUGGACUAACGGAGGCGAAGGCGACACUCUUAGACGUAUCUUAGGAUCAAGGACGAAGGCAGGAGUAUCGAAAGUGAUUAGACACCGCUGUAGUUCCUGCAGUAAACUAUGCCGACAGCCUGUGUGUGAGAAUACGUGGGCGGGAGAAAUCUUAGUGUUCGGGCUCUGGGGAUAGUACGCUCGCAAGGGUGAAACUUAAAGCGAAAUUGACGGAAGGACACA